rnacentral:rRNA from 1 species
UGGGGAAUUUUGGACAAUGGGCGAAAGCCUGAUCCAGCAAUGCCGCGUGAGUGAUGAAGGCCUUCGGGUUGUAAAGCUCUUUCAGUAGGGAAGAUAAUGACGGUACCUACAGAAGAAGCUCCGGCUAACUUCGUGCCAGCAGCCGCGGUAAUACGAAGGGAGCUAGCGUUACUCGGAAUCACUGGGCGUAAAGCGUGCGCAGGCGGCUUAGUAAGUUGGAAGUGAAAGCCCAGGGCCCAACCCUGGAAUUGCUUUCAAUACUGCUAGGCUAGAGUAUUGGAGGGGAUAGUGGAAUUUCUAGUGUAGAGGUGGAAUUCGUAGAUACUAGAAGGAACACCGGUGGCGAAGGCGACUAUCUGGCCAAAUACUGACGCUGUUGCACGAAGGCGUGGGGAGCGAACAGGAUUAGAUACCCCCGUAGUCC